GAAGAUGUUGAUCUUGUUGGUGGCCAAAUUUUACAUCAUAUGUUUGAAAUUUGAAUGAGUGUUGAGUUUAGAAUAGUAGCACAAUAAUUCUGUCAAUAUUAAUGCCAAUCUAAACAUCCCAUGUACAUGUGUUGUUGGCUUUCAGUCUUUUUUUUGUUCAUUGUACAUGUAACUUCAUGAGUUCAUGUUGUUCGAGUUUUGAGCUAAACGUUUGUCUCUACAUUCUUACGUUGAGAUUUUGGAAUUAGGUGAAAAAUGAAAGAGAGGCAUCACAAGAUAUAGUUGCCGCAUCUUAUGUCGAUGGACAAUACUCUAUUACGAAUUGCAUUGAAGUCUUGAUAAAUCUCAAGGACAUACUUCUUUUGAAUGGAACACAAUUUAGCUAUGCUUUAGAAUUGAUUAAAGAUAGCAAAAAUAGAGUCAUAGUUGUUUCUUUAAGACAGCGCAANNNUUGUCUUUUCCUUUUGUAAUAAUGAAUCUUUAUUAGCAUUUUGAGUAUUUUCCCUUCAAUUUGUUCUAUCAAUGACUUAUAUGGAAUGUUACAAAAUAUUUUCUGAUGG
rnacentral:lncRNA from 1 species